rnacentral:rRNA from 1 species
CACCGCGGUUAGACGAGAGGCCUAAGUUGAUAACCACCGGCGUAAAGAGUGGUUAAGAGAAACCAUAACUAAAGCCGAAUACUUUCAAAGCUGUUAUACGCAUCCGAAAGUAAGAAGUACUACUACGAAAGUGGCUUUAAUACAUCUGACCCCACGAAAGCUGUGAAA